ACAAGCUCAGUAGCGACAUCGACGAUGACUUUCCCACUCAAAAACUUGUUUCGACACCAUGAUGGCGCUUUCUGAAGAAAUAUUUCACUAGCGCACCUUUAAAUUUUCCUACUCAGAUUCUGAGCUGUAUUUGCUUAAAUAACAAGAUGUUUAUGAUUAUUUCACUAAUCCAGCAACAAAAUUUGAGCAACCCAUUGAUAAUAAGUUUCAUUAUUUUCAAUAAGAAACAAGUUGAACAAGAAUUCUAUUAAUGUUUUCCAAAUAAAACCAACACACUCUCUUGGUGGAACUAUACUAGGGUGCACACUUGGUGACACUAGCGCCAAAAGGUAAAACAACGGCAAAUUUGUACCCCGAUUCGAAAUUUGACAGCGCCGCGUAAUGGCCACAUUCCCAGUUAUUUCAAAACAACCGUUGCAAUGCUUUACACAACUGCACUACAUGAGCUUGGACGUCUGUUCUCUGUGGUGCAAGUUAGAGAAGGUCAAACCGUUAACCUCAGUUGCUCAGAUUUAAAACGAUCAAACCAAUGGAGGGUCGGUACACUGUAUAUCCCUUUCGGGACGGAGCACAAAAAAGUGAAGUUUCCACGGGAUGUGCUUAUUUCAACUCGUAGACUUUCCAACAAAACUACUUUAAUAGAAGAACUACUAUGUUACUUUCGAUUUCCAGCUUGCCUAACUAGAUAAAUAGGAUAUAAAGGUGUUGCGACACAUAAAACUAGUUCAUCUUUUUCAAAUUCUGUUUACUUUUUGUUUAAAUUGUUGUGGUAAAUAUCUGUGUCUCGCGGACUGACUCAAUAUGCUGUCUCAGCGGGAGCCAAACAUCGGGAGCCAAACAUUGAAGAUGUAGGUUAUGUUAAACCACAGAGAACAGACGAACAUGCUCGAACAAAAUUGCUUGAAAAUCUUGUGUAAAGAAAAAACAAGCUCAGUACACAGAGAACAGACGUCCAAGCUCAUGUAGUGCAGUUGUGUAAAGCAUUGCAACGGUUGUUUUGAAAUAACUGGGAAUGUGGCCAUUACGCGGUGCUGUCACAUUUUGAAUCGGGGUACAAAUUUGCCGUUGUUUUAGCUUUUGGCGCUAGUGUCACCAAGUGUGCACGAUAGUAUAGUUCCACCAAGAGAAUGUGUUGUUUUUACUUGGAAAACAAUAAUUGAAUUCUUGUUCAACUUGUUUCUUAUUGAAAAUAAUGAAACUAAUUAUCAAUGGGUUGCUCAAAUUUUGUUGCUGGAUUAGUGAAAUAAUCAUAAACAUCUUGUUAUUUAAGCAAAUACAGCUCAGAAUCUGAGUAGGUAAAUUUAAAGGUGCGCUAGUGAAAUAUUUCUUCAGAAAGCGCCAUCACGGUGUCGAAACAAGUUUUUGAGUGGGAAAGUCACCGUCGAUGUCGCUACUGAGCUUGUUUUUUCUUUACACAAGAUUUUCAAGCAAUUUUGUUCGAGCAUGUUCGUCUGUUCUCUGUGCUCAGUAGCAGUGUUGGUAAAAACUCAAAAUCUCAAACCUCAAGUCUCAAAAUCGAAUACCCGCAAUGACUCCCCAACAGCAACACCGGAUGAAAUGGACCUGGAACAUACCUACCGUUCAAUCGCAUACAUGCCUCACCUGUCGAAUCGCAUCGACAAGGAAAUCCAGAAAAACUACAAAAACAUACGACUUGCAACAUACAACUGGAAAUCUGUAGGAGGUUUGUUCACAAAAGUGAAGGAUCCGAUCCCCGAAGAUCAACAGACCGAUGUCAUCUACUCCAUCCCAUGCAACGACUGCUCUGCCUGCUACAUAGGCAUGACGACAAACAGGCUCAAAACAAGGAUCAGCGGCCACAAAACACACUACAACGUGCUAGACAGAUUACAGCAAACAGGAGUCAGCAUAACGAAUCCGCAAAUCAUCCAGCUCCAGCAGAAAACAGCCCUAAUGGAACACACGAUCGUCGAAAACCACCGAUUCAACCUAGAAAACACAAAAAUUUUAGACAAAACAAACAAAUCACACACACUCCCAUAUUUGGAAAUGUGUCACAUCGUGAACAACAGCAACUGCAUCAACCGAAGAACAGACACAGAGGGUUUAAAUGCAAUAUACGCAGGAAUACUUCACAAGCUAGGAACGAAAAAACAGAAAAACACAGAAAAUGUAAACACACACGGAACCACAACAAACACGGAUAAUACACAUACACACAACAUAAUCGAAACACCACUCACACAAGAUUGAAAAUGUCAAUAUCAGUCUCGAAAGCGUAGAGUGCAGGUGCAAGAAAAAAGCGUAGGCAGAAAGAAAUCACAGAAGCGAUAAAAAACAAGCUUUGUGCGAUUAAGCUGCUAUAAAGUUGCGAAACACAGUGUCGGGCGUAAAAAUCGACACACAUGCAGCACCAAAGACGCCAUUACAAACCAUCUACAGACACAAUACAGACAACCAAAUGUAGGCCACUACACAUGUUAACAAAAAUACAAACUCCUGUAAGUAGGGGAAAAUGGGGCACAUUGAGGGAAAGAAUCGGAAAUCAAUGUAUAUUCAAACACCAAAUUUUUAGAUCCCCUGAAGAAGGUUCAAUAAAGAACCGAAACGUCGGACGUAGGAGCAAAAACUGUGUUUGCUAACCACUCAGACUGCUAUUGCCGAAAAA